rnacentral:rRNA from 1 species
GACGAACGCUGGCGGCGUGCUUAACACAUGCAAGUCGAACGGAAAGGCCCUGCUUUUGUGGGGUGCUCGAGUGGCGAACGGGUGAGUAACACGUGAGUAACCUGCCCUUGACUUUGGGAUAACUUCAGGAAACUGGGGCUAAUACCGGAUAGGAGCUCCUGCUGCAUGGUGGGGGUUGGAAAGUUUCGGCGGUUGGGGAUGGACUCGCGGCUUAUCAGCUUGUUGGUGGGGUAGUGGCUUACCAAGGCUUUGACGGGUAGCCGGCCUGAGAGGGUGACCGGCAAAUGUGGGAGGGAGAUGCGGCCGGGCCCCCAGGGGGGGGAAGAAGGGGGGAAUGUGGCACAAGGGGGGGAGCCCGGAGGCAGCAGGGCCGGGGGGGGGGGGAGGGCUUUGGGGUGGAAAACCGCUUUCGCCGGGGACGAGGGGUGGGGGAGGGGAAGGGAAAAAAAAGCCCCGGCUAACUAGGGG